UCCCGCGUGUAGCCAGUGAAAGUGCGUAGAUAUGCGGAGGGAACACCGAUGGCGAAGGCCAGCCUCCCUGGGAUCACACUGACUGUUCAUGCACGAAAGCGUGGUGAGCACACAGGAUUAGAUACCCCUGGUAGUGCACGCCCUAAACGAUGUCAACUAGCUGUUGGGGCCUUCGGGCCUUGGUAGCUCAGCUAACGCGUGAAGUUGUCCGCCUGGGGAGUACGGUCGCAAGAUUAAAACUCAAAGGAAUUGACGUGGACCCGCACAAGCGGUGGAUGAUGUGGAUUAAUUCGAUGCAACGCGAAAAACCUUACCUACCCUUGACAUGUCUGGAAUGCCGAAGAGAUUUGGCAGUGCUCGCAAGAGAACCGGAACACAGGUGCUGCAUGGCUGUCGUCAGCUCGUGUCGUGAGAUGUUGGGUUAAGUCCCGCAACGAGCGCAACCCUUGUCAUUAGUUGCUACGAAAGUGCACUCUAAUGAGACUGCCGGUGACAAACCGGAGGAAGGUGGGGAUGACGUCAAGUCCUCAUGGCCCUUAUGGGUAGGGCUUCACACGUCAUACAAUGGUCGGGACAGAGGGUCGCCAACCCGCGAGGGGGAGCCAAUCCCAGAAACCCGAUCGUAGUCCGGAUCGCAGUCUGCAACUCGACUGCGUGAAGUCGGAAUCGCUAGUAAUCGCGGAUCAGCAUGUCGCGGUGAAUACGUUCCCGGGUCUUGUACACACCGCCCGUCACACCAUGGGAGUGGGUUACCAGAAGUAGCUAGAG
rnacentral:rRNA from 1 species